rnacentral:misc_RNA from 1 species
CCGCGAGUCUGCUACGCUGCGAUCGCUCUCGUUUAGUUCAAAACUCGGUGAUUGUGAUUAUUUUGAUUUGUGGUUGAAAUUUAGUGCGAGACAGAUUUUAUAUGUGAGGUACUGUAAUAAUGUGCAGUGGCAGUGUGCGCAAGGAUUUCUCUGAUUGGCCCGUUUGAUGGUGCGGAAAAAUGGUAAUUGUUUUUAUAGCAGUCACAACAAAUGUUAAGG